AUCAUACGUCGCCGCUCCUCCCUUCCCCUCCUCGCGCCGUCCCUCUCCCCACGCCUGCAAGGAUGGCCAUCUUCUCCCGCCGCCUCCUCCCUCCCUCCAGUGCCACCGCGCUGUGGCUUCCCCCUUCCUCCUAGCAUCGUUGACGCACCCCAUGCCAAGGUCCCAGCCGAACGGCGGCAACUAUUUUCGGCGUCAUUCCUCGCACGCCUGAGAGAACUGCUCGUCGCCGAGUCCGUCCCACUGCAAGCAUGGCAGCACUGCGAUCUACUCGCUCCUCCCUCGCCGUAGGCAGGCAGAUGGUCAGGAACCUUAAUCCCUAGGACUACUCCCGAACAAGCAUUCAGAUUCUUGAAGAUGUCUCCACACAUUCUAUUUCCAAUACGUAGAACAUUAGAACGCAAGCAUAUGCUUUCUGGAUGUCUCAGGUAAUGUGUCAAGCUUUUGGACUGCUAUGUUGCCUGAUAGUUCUAGCCAAUUGGGUUUUCAUGUGCUCGCUUGUGAGAUGAAUGAAUGGUAAAAGAUCAAAAGUUGUAUGAUUCUACUAAUCCUCCCUUAUAAAUCAUAGAUUUGUUUAAAUUUAGUUUGCAGCUUGAGGAUGAGGUAUGUGCUUUGAUUUUUGGACCUCUUGCAGCUUGAGGACGAGGUAUGUGCCCCUCCCCUGGUUACUUGCCAGUAACCAUGUCGGAUUCAUUACAAUUAUUAACCCAUUUGUAGGAAGAGAUAGAUCUGCUCUGGUGGUGGGAGACAAACAAUGCCUUUUGGUGCUAUUUUCUAAAUAAGAUAUAUGCAUGUCUUCACACCUCCAUUGCUGUUGCGCCCAUAACCCAAGCUCCGCUGCUGCCACAUUGUUGGUCCGCGAAGAGAACGCAAACGGUAUAGCUCUGAAAUCCACGACAGACAUUGCUCUCAUUCUGUUGCUAUUGUUGUGGAACGCCGAGGACGCAUGCACCACGGCCGCCGGUUCUCCCAAUCAGGGGGCGUGAAAUCUGCCAUCAGUAUGUUUUGUGUGUGAUUCGAAGUUUGGCAACCGGCAUGAUGCGAGAAAAAACAACAGUGGAUACCUCCCAUCAAUUGUUCAUAGUUGGUUUGUUACUUCAGACUCACGGGUGAAUCCACAGGUAAUGUUUGCACCAAUAAAACUGCAACCUUCAUUGCAGGACAACUUCUAACUGAAUCUCAUGGAUUUGUCUUCACAUAAUGUUCUCUUAGUCGGAUUGUGGCAUGCAGCAAGGUGAGCAACCAAUCAUCAUCGUGAGAUUUCUAUUCUGAAUGCUGAAGAAAGCUACUAAGCAAGUUCAUGUAUGUACAACAGUUCUAAUUGCUGCUUUUAGAGAAGUCCCAGUUGUACGAAGCUACACUGUGAAUUCUCAUCUUACUAAAUUUUUCAUUCAACUUCUCCAUUUUGGACUGUAUAUUUUCAUUACUAUCUCUUCUACCUUAUUUUAGCGAUUUUAAUCAGCUGCGAUGGCGUUCAACAACUCUUUAUGUUUUUAGUCUUUUUAUUUACUAGCAUUGUGUUAUGCUUUCAGAUUCAAAGAACCACAGACGCACUGUGAGACUAUUAUGCCCAGAGUUAGCCAAGAGCCUAAGACAUACUAAAAACAUUUUUUAGAUAAGAUAGUUAUGAAAAAAGAGACUUUGUUAAUCGGUACUGAAAUGCAUAACAUUGAUGCUAGAAUCUUAUUUUUCGCUGUAUAUAAUAUCAACAACAUGAUUUUUUCCGGGUCAUAGAUUGCUUGGAAAAAUGCAACAUUGAUAUGCUAGAAUCCUGAGGAGAUUAUGGCCGGUGAUGGAGAUUAUUUUGUAUGCUCAUGGUGCCAUGGCGACUGCACGGCGGAGGGCUGCACGCUUGACUUCGACAUCAGCGUCUUCAACAAGGAGAAGAUCUCCCUCGCCAGCCAUGACGAGUAUAUGGUGGCGGGCGGGUGCAACCUCUUCCCAUUGCUCCCGGAGGCGUCAAGGGUGUCAUGUCCUUUGUCGUGAUCGGAUGGGGCUCCCAGGUUCAGUCCCAUCUUCGCUUUGCUCCCUCAUUGCGCAGUUUCUCUCCUAUCUGUAGAGAUAUGUCUCUCUACUGCUAUUCUACUGAAUAUUAUUCUUGGAGUAUCAUAGCCAAUUGCUUUACUGGUGAACAUGUGUAGGAGGAUUUGUGGUUUAGCGUUAUUAGACCUCUGUGAAUACAUGUAUAGGAGGAUUCUUGGAGCUUUGUACAAUCAGUAAGGCCAUCAAAGCUAAUUCCUUUACUGGUGAACAUGUAUAGGAGGAUUCAUUAUUAGACCUCUCUACAUAACUACAUAUACAUGUUUGCUCUGUGCUACAAAAAAAGACUCUCCUUUGGUGGUGAGAAUAAAAAGGAAUAAAUUUACUAUUCGGAAUAAAAUUUAAUUGGGUGAACUGUAGAAGCUGACUUUGUUAGAGAAAGGUUGAGAACCCACCCUUUCUUUCUUGUAGGAUUGAGAAGAUUUUGAAUUUAGAACCUUUUAGAUGUACAAAAAGAAAGCAGAUUGUGCUUGUAGAUAAUGAUGGUGAGAAGAUCAAAUUUAUGGUAUGGGGAGAGUGGUUUAACAGAUUGUACUUGUACAGAAAGAGAGCAGAUUGUGUUUCUUUUCAGAAGAUAACUUUUGCCAGCCAUUGUGUUGCUUGUAAGCAGAAUACUUAUUGAUUUAGUUCUCUCACCACUGAUUCUCCUGAAGCUGUAAUUUGUAUUGAGUUAUAUAUAUUGUGUCAAUCCUAAUAUUAGUAUAUGCAACCUAACACGAUGAUACCAACGGUGUUACAUGUCAUAAUAUGUUUAGUUCCUUAGUUCUGUUUAUUUGCAUCUUCUACUUUCAGGCCAUGGACACAUGCAACAUAUGCAGAACCAAAAACUAGGUGUAAUCUGAUGUUCCCUUUGUAGAACCUGCUUUGAGAAAAUAGUACCCAAUGUGUUCAUGCUUUCCACUCUCUUUUGGUGCUUAUUUUGUGAUUCUGCAUAAAGGGAAACUGUUUCCGGAUCCCCCUCCCUGCACCGCACUCAUCAAGCACAUUUGAAACCAUUAUAUUGUAGAAUAC